UGGGGAAUAUUGCACAAUGGAGGGAACUCUGAUGCAGCGACGCCGCGUGAACGAAGAAGGCUUUCGAGUCGUAAAGUUCUUUUAUAUGGGAAGAUAAUGACGGUACCAUAAGAAAAAGCCCCGGCUAACUACGUGCCAGCAGCCGCGGUAAUACGUAGGGGGCUAGCGUUGUCCGGAAUCACUGGGCGUAAAGGGUUCGCAGGCGGAAAUGCAAGUCCGGUGUAAAAGGCAGUAGCUUAACUACUGUAAGCAUUUGAAACUGCAUAUCUUGAGAAGAGUAGAGGUAAGUGGAAUUUUUAGUGUAGCGGUGAAAUGCGUAGAUAUUAAAAAGAAUACCGGUGGCGAAGGCGACUUACUGGGCUCAUUCUGACGCUGAGGAACGAAAGCGUGGGUAGCAAACAGG
rnacentral:rRNA from 1 species